rnacentral:lncRNA from 1 species
GCCAUAUGAUCCAGCCCCAGCUGCUCCUCUGACCUGGUGUCCUCGAUCGAUCCUCAUGUACUGCAAAGCUAAACUCUUCUUCGUGCCCCUGGACCACUUGCUCCCCAUGGUCCAAAUCCAGAACUCCACACAUGUUCUGUGUGCCUGGGAUAUUCUUUUCCAUGCUCGUCACUAACAUUUCUUUGAAAUAUAUGCCCCACAAAAUGUCAUUUCUCAAGAGAAUUUCUUCCACUGUCCACUUUCCAAAUUAAAAACUCUUCUUGCAGCGUUGUGUCUCAGAACAUGAUAGUCUGUGCUUCAGUAAGCUAGGCACCAUUAAUCUUAGAUAUUGAGAAGCAGUUUGGGAUUAUUGAAGGAACAGUCAGCUUGAGUGCUGACUCUCGCCACCUACUAGUUAGGUAUCCAGGCACAAGUUAUCUGAAAGUAGAUUUUUUUUUCAUACAGUGUAUUAUGAUUAUUACCCCCAGUGCCUCCUAAUUCCUCCCCUUGUCCUGUCUCAUCCAGAUCUACCCUCUGUCUAUCUCUCAUUAGAAAAUAAACCAGCCUCUAAGGAAU